rnacentral:tRNA from 1 species
GCAUUGGCAGUUCUGUGGUAGAAUUCUUGCCUUCUGUGCAGGAGACCUGGGUUCGAUUCCCAGGUAACGCA